rfam:Lupinus angustifolius cultivar Tanjil contig_38270, whole genome shotgun sequence.
CCCCCUUUAACUCAAUGAUAGAGUAACGCCAUGGUAAAGCGUAAGUCAUCAAUUCAAAUUCGAUAAGGGGCU